rnacentral:rRNA from 1 species
GACGAACGCUGGCGGCGUGCUUAACACAUGCAAGUCGAACGAAAAUGCCCUGCUUUUUUUCGGUGCUCGAGUGGCGAACGAGUGAGUAACCCGUCAGUAACCUGCCCCUGACUUUGGGAUAACUUCACAAAACUGGGGCUACUACCGGACAGGAGCUCUACCUUAAUGGUGGGGGUUCGAACGUUUCGGCGUUUGGGUAUGGACUGGCGGCUUAUCUGCUUUUUGGUGGGGUUGUCGCUUAGCAGGGCUUUGACCGGUAGCCGGCCUGGGAGGGUGGCCGGCCCGAUUAGGAUGGAGAUACGGCCCAGACUACUACGGGAGGGAGGGGUGGAGAAGGUUGCAUAAUGGGAGGGAGCCUGAUGUGACAACGCGGCGUGGGGGAUGACGGCAUUCGGGUUGUAAUCCGAUUUCGCCUGUGAAGAAGCGUGAGUGACGGUAAUGGGGAAAGAAGCACCGGCUAACUACGUG